rnacentral:sRNA from 1 species
UCUUAGCCCCGAUUGCACUGAAAAUCCUUUUUUGAAAAAAAAGAUUGCAACGGAAAGCGGGAAAAAGC